rnacentral:rRNA from 1 species
AGGCGAAAAGAACCCCGGCGAGGGGAGUGAAAAAGAACCUGAAACCGUGUACGUACAAGCAGUGGGAGCACCCUUUUGGGUGUGACUGCGUACCUUUUGUAUAAUGGGUCAGCGACUUAUAUUCUGUAGCAAGGUUAACCGAAUAGGGGAGCCGGAGGGAAACCGAGUCUUAAUUGGGCGUUAAGUUGCAGGGUAUAGACCCGAAACCCGGUGAUCUAGCCAUGGGCAGGUUGAAGGUUGGGUAACACUAACUGGAGGACCGAACCGACUAAUGUUGAAAAAUUAGCGGAUGACCUGUGGCUGGGGGUGAAAGGCCAAUCAAACCGGGAGAUAGCUGGUUCUCCCCGAAAGCUAUUUAGGUAGCGCCUCGUGAAUUCAUCUCCGGGGGUAGAGCACUGUUUCGGCUAGGGGGCCAUCCCGGCUUACCAACCCGAUGCAAACUGCGAAUACCGGAGAAUGUUAUCACGGGAGACACACGGCGGGUGCUAACGUCCGUCGUGAAGAGGGAAACAACCCAGACCGCCAGCUAAGGUCCCAAAGUCAUGGUUAAG